rnacentral:rRNA from 1 species
UACGUAGGGUGCAAGCGUUGUCCGGAAUUAUUGGGCGUAAAGAGCUCGUAGGCGGUUCGUCACGUCGGCUGUGAAAUUCCGAGGCUCAACCUCGGGUCUGCAGUCGAUACGGGCGGACUGGAGUACUGCAGGGGAGACUGGAAUUCCUGGUGUAGCGGUGAAAUGCGCAGAUAUCAGGAGGAACACCGGUGGCGAAGGCGGGUCUCUGGGCAGUAACUGACGCUGAGGAGCGAAAGCGUGGGGAGCGAACAGG